CAGUCUGUGUUACAGCUUUGCCGUCAGGGUAGCUCCUUACGAGCUGCCCAAACUGAGGACCAGUUUUCCUCACAGGAGGAGGCUGGUGGGGCCUAGGGUGUUAGGGGUACAACGGUUGGCUCUUUCACAGAACGGGUGUUUUCCGUUCUGCGUUUGAGUCUGCCGUCUUUGGGCGUCUCCCUCUGAGAUGUCGGUUAGGAUUUCUUUUUUUUAUAUGUCCGUGUGUGUAACUGUUGCCUUUUAGCCUGUUGUGUUCCUGAGCAGCAAGAAGAGGCGGCUGUGGUGACCCGCCCGAUGCGGAAGGCUUCUGGGCCCUGUCGGCGGGGGCGCACCUCUCUGGCUGACUGGUUGACCAGGCUUUGACCAGGUGGCCGGGGAGGCGCAUCCUCGCUGGGCGGGGUCUGGGGGCCCUCCGUCUUGGGGAGGUCGCUGCAGCAGGAGGAGGUAACUACUGCUGGUUUUGUAAGGCAUUGUGGUUGAGAGCACCUUGCAGCUGUAACGCGAAUUUCGUUCCGUAAUAAACAAUGUACCGCCAUGCUGCCUGUCCUUCCUCCCUCCCAGCACUGUGUACGUCUGUGUGUGUGUGUUGCUUAAUUCUCCCUCACUGCACUGUGUACGUCUGUGUGUGUGUGUGUGUUGCUUAAUUCUCCCUCACUGCACUGUGUACGUCUGUGUGUGUGUGUGUGUUGCUUAAUUCUCCCUCCCAGCACUGUGUACGUCUGUGUGUGUGUGUUGCUUAAUUCUCCCUCACUGCACUGUGCGUACGUCUGUGUGUGUGUGUUGCUUAAUUCUCCCUCCCAGCACUGUGUACGUCUGUGUGUGUGUGUUGCUUAAUUCUCCCUCACUGCACUGUGCGUACGUCUGUGUGUGUGUGUGUUGCUCUGUCUCUCUCUCUCAAUCUCUCUCUCUGUCUGUCUCUCUAUCUCUCAAUCUCUCUCUGUGUCUUUCUCUCUCUCUAGUUAGUAAAGAACGGGCAACGUUUGCCACGGAAGACUCUACAGUAUAAGACUCUACAGUAUACAUAAGAGUCUACAGUGUACAUCCCAACCCUCUACGGCCGUUGCUGCUCCACCCGGGCAUUACCACAUCCACCCGGGUCUACAAGAAACCUCCACGGCCGAGCCUCAACCACAGAACACACCGCUACGGUUGAUGAGGUUCCACGCCCCGGACUACCGCCAUGUUAGCCUCCAUAAUAGUCCUCGGCGCACUUGUUCUGAGACGUCCUGACUGGAGAGCUACACAACACUGGUCAUCCGCUGAGUGGUUGAAUUCCUGGUCUACCGGCCCCUGGAGGAGUGGUUGAUUGCCUGGUCUACUGUGGAUAUGAGUGGUUGAUUCCCUGGUCUACCCCUGGAUGACGCAGCUGUUCCUAUGCAGGGGAAGACUCACACAAGCGAUAAGCACCUGUCAGACCUGGAGACUCCCCCCUGAGCCUGACGGUGGAGCUGUGGGCCCUGCACCAGACCCCCACACCCCCCCCCACACCACCCACAGCAGGGGCAGGGCGUUGAGACUACCCCCACAGGCUAAGACAGGGAGGGACUUGAAGAUCCAGGUUUUUGUCAUCUGCACAGGAAUUGACACAUGGUAUUUGGGAGCAGCGAGUAGCAGGCUUUUUUAAUAUAGUUUCCUUUUUUGUGUGUGCCCUUGAGCUGUCUCCUUUGUUGUAGAAAAAAUACUUGACAAGGCUUUCAUAGGUGUUUGGGGCAUUUCCAGGGGUAGUUUAAUGACCCUGGUGGUAGUCUGACCCUUCCUCUGUGCAAUGAACUUGAAAAAAACGCUCAUAAAAAUGCAGAUAUUAACCCAGUAGCAGCGGGGAUCAUGUUUCUUAAUGGUCCCUCCAAGCGAGAAAAAUGAGAGAAAAUCACCCCUCACACAAACCAUUUCAUAUAUAUCAAAGUAUUUGCGAUCAGUUAUGUAUCAUCUAAUUUUUGGGGUUUAUAUCAUGGCACAAAUUUGGCCUGUCGCUGCUACACGGUAAAGCCACAAAUUUGGCCCAUCGCUGCUACGGGGUUAACCUCAUUAUCAUGUUAAAAUCCCUGUAUCUCACUGUUAUCUUCCUCUCCCUCUAUAUUAUUUGUCAAUCUCUCUCUUUCUCUCUCCCACAGAUGUCUAAGGUUCUGCCCAUGCAGCUGAAGGGUGCCAAUGCCUACACAUGCAUCGACCACAGGUGUGCGCUGGACAUUGCCUACAAUUCAUGGUGCAAAUGGGAGCGUCGGCGGAGAUCGAGCUGGCUGAAGGUUGGCGGCUGGGUCAAGCUCGCAACGGACAAGGAGUUCUAUGAGAUGUGCUCGGCGGAUGUUGUUGACCUCAGCCACAUCAAUGUUACUAAGGUGGUGGAGGUUGGGAACGGCAUCUACAUUGACGACGGACUCAAGGAGAUCGCUGAGACUACUACUACUACUACUAUUACUAUUACUAUCCUCUAUACUGAUAUGUGUACUAUUAAAUCCUCUUUACUGCUACUAUGUGUACUAUUGAAUCCCUUAUAUAGUACUUCCAUGACAGCUGAUACUUCUACUACUACUACUAUGACCACUCAAUCCCUGGUAAGUACAAUGUCAUUAUCAUCAUCAUUAUUUAGGUUAAGGUCCAUUUAAUUCAAUCUUCCUGAGCGGUUGGACGCUUUAUGGCUCUCCUCCAUUCUACUCUGUCUUCCGCCCAAUGCUUAUACAGUCCUAUCAAUCCCAAGUCUUCCUGUACACACCUUCUCCAUGUUUUCCUAGGGCUACCAACUGGUCUCCUUCCUUCUACCUCCAUUCUACUCUGUCUUCCCCCCAAUGCUUAUACAGUCCUAUCAAUCCCAAGUCUUCCUGUACACACCUUCUCCACGUUUUUCUAGCUCUACCAACUGGUCUCCUUCCUUCUACCUCCAUUCUACUCUGUCUUCUGCCCAAUGCUCAUCCAAUCCCAUCACUUCCAAGUCUUCCUGUACACACCUUCUCCACGUUUUCCUAGGUCUACCAACUGGUCUCCUUCCUUCUACCUCCAAUCUCUCCAACACUCCCAGCACUGUAUCCUCCCCUGCUCUCUUUACAUGUCCAAACCAUUGGAGUCUUUCCCUUCUGAGCACUGUUUCCAGGUCCUCUACUAAAACUCCCAGCACUGUGUCCUCCCCUGCUCUCUUUACAUGUCUCUGCCAAAUAUUUCCCUCUCCCUGCCUCUGUCCCUGCCAAAUCACUCUCUCCAUGCCUGUGUCCCUGCCAUAUCUCUCCCUCCCUGCCAAAUCUAGCCUCUCCUCCUUACCUAACCUACCUUACCC